GUCACUGCUACCUUAAGAAAGCACUAGUUGAAACUUGAUGCCAAUAAUUCUUAAUUACAACUGCAUUGGUGGCUUUAUGUGCAUCUCUGCUCAUUUAAACUCAGUGCUGACUGACAAAUUGUGCUCGUCUGCCAGCUCGACAGUAAUUUAGUCUGGCAACCUGCAGCUUGCACCAGAUUGAUGAGCAGCUGUUUGGUCUGUUCGGGGGAUGCAUUGUUGUUUUCUUGGUGCAGGCUGCUUUGUGCUACUGCCGAGUGGACGAAUAGUUUUGUCUUCUCCGGUGACACUGUGGACACUCUGGAUGGCCGCUCCUGUAACUGCAAAUGCACCUUUCCAAAGCAUCAAUCCCUCACCAUCCCGGAUCCUGCAUCAUGCAGGAGAGCAAGGCAGAACAGCUUGGCAGACUCAAAUUCACAUCAUGUUUUUCAGGACUUGUUCUGAAAAUUAUCAUCAUCAAGGACAAGCUGAGAUGCUUCCACUUCAGUGAGAGAAGCGAGCAAGACCACAUGCAGUAGGUGAAAGCAGAUGAGCUCGUCAUCAAAAACAAAAGCCAGUUAAAUGAGAGAGAGAGUGUGUGUUUGGGGUUAGAUGGAGGAGCGUUAAUAUGGAUUGGAUAACGAUGUUAUUUAGGAAUUCCUUUUCGUUUUCCUAGGUGUGAUAACUCUAUUAUGGUUUUGUAGAAGGCCCUCCUUGGAAAACACAUGCUGGGAUAUCUAGUUAGGAGCAAGGAAUCGUGAUGCCUGUGCCUUCCUUUCAAACGGCUCUGCAAACAUGUUUGGAUGUGUGUACACACCGAG
rnacentral:lncRNA from 1 species